UACGAGGGGGGCAAGCGUUGUUCGGAAUUAUUGGGCGUAAAGGGCGCGUAGGCGGUGCGGUAAGUCACCUGUGAAAUCUCUGGGCUCAACUCAGAGUCUGCAGGCGAAACUGCCGUGCUGGAGUAUGGGAGAGGUGCGUGGAAUUCCCGGUGUAGCGGUGAAAUGCGUAGAUAUCGGGAGGAGCACCUGUGGCGAAAGCGGCGCACUGGACCAUAACUGACGCUGAGGCGCGAAAGCGAGGGGAGCAAACAGG
rnacentral:rRNA from 1 species